rnacentral:rRNA from 1 species
AAUCAACGCUGGCGGCGUGCCUCAGACAUGCAAGUCGAACGAUUAAAGCUCUCUUCGGAGAGUGCAUAAAGUGGCGCACGGGUGAGUAACACGUAAGUAAUCUACCCUCGAGUGGGAAUAACGUCCGGAAACGGACGCUAAUACCGCAUAAUGCAGCGGCAUCGCAAGAUGACAGUUGUUAAAGAUUUAUCGCUUGAAGAGGAGCUUGCGGCAGAUAGCUAGUUGGUAAGGUAAUGGCUUACCAAGGCUACGAUCUGUAACCGGUCUAAGAGGACGGUCGGUCACACUGACACUGAAUAACGGGUCAGACUCCUACGGGAGGCAGCAGUCGGGAAUUUUGGGCAAUGGGCGAAAGCCUGACCCAGCAACGCCGCGU